AGGAAGAAUUAGCGCUGCAAGCUGUUUUCUCAGUGAUCUGUUCUGAAAAACCCCUGAAAAAGGAAAAAACAAAGAAUAUGGGUGAAAGAAUGGAUCAGCACACACAGGCACCAGGGAUUGUCUGUGCUAGAGAGAGUUGAAGUGAUGGGAGAUCAAUACGGCACAUCGAGAACACGAGAUUCCAUUUUCUGACCUGUUAUCUUCAUCCGUCUCCACCAGAGUUGCCAUGACUACAACCAACAGGCCACCUUCCUCUCCUGAGCAUCCGCUCCUCAUAAAAACAAGUACGUUGUAACAAAGCUGCACAUCUUCAAUCCUCAACGCAGAUGACACGCGGCCUUCAGCCCGACAACACCGAGCCAAAAAGGCCACAGCUGGAACGAGGCGUCCCAAUCAAGCCAAAGGAGCGUAAAAUGAAGAUGCCAGCCUGAGCUGAGGAGCGCCGCGGGCAUCACAAACCACUAAGCAGCUUCCUCCUGUCCCUGACGUGCAGAUUGUGCUGAAGAUUAAUGAGUCGGCCGGCGGCUUCAUCAGUGAGCAGCUUCACCUUCUGACUCUCUGAACAAGCACACGAGUCAAAGCUCACGCUGAAGACCUGCUGCCUCACUUUAUUAUGACACACAGCACCCUGCAGCCAUCUGAAUGGCCGACCGUCAUUACAGUCCUGGACAGAUGAUGGGUCUCACUUAAAGACACACGACAAGGCUCAAAAAAUAAUAGACACUUUAUACAGUAUGACGACGGAAAUGAUUCAACUGAUUAUCGUUUUAUAACAGAUAUAUCUGAUCAGAUAUCAGUAGACAAGUCUGCUAUAUGUUAUUCUGCCUUCACGUGCUAUCGGAAAUUUGAUAAUUCCCACUUCUGAAGUCGUGAUUACAAGCUCAUUGCAUUCAAGUUUCGAAAUGGGAGGGCAUUCAUGUGCAAUUUUUACCUAGAAAACUCGUAUUUAUGAUAAUUCCGAGAGCAUGUGAAGGCAGCAUUAUUUACAAAUGAGAGUGACUUAUGAAUGUAUGUCUGUGUGUGUGUGUGUGUGUGUGUGUGUGUAUGUAUAUAUAUAUAUAUAUAUAUAUAUAUAUAUAUACUGUAUUUAUACAACAGUUCUUUCUGGUUCUGAUUGGCUGAGAGGUCUUUCCAGCCAUGCGAUAUUCUACCAGUAUCGCCACGGGAACCGUUUCACCGUUUGAAUCACUCACAGCGAGUGUCAUGGCGGACGAGCAAACCCACCAUAUUUUUGUAGAUUUUUUUUUUUAUAUAUUUAUGAGUUUUAUGAUAUAUUUUUGAGUUUUUUAGGCAAGAAUAUAGUUGCUUAGACCUCAGAUAUGUGAUUUAUAUGUAAACAUAGCGCCUAUUUGAAAAUUUGUUUAGACGAUUUCGGAGAUGCGAGCUCCAGGCCGUCAGCAACCGUUCAGCGCUCAUGUACCGGCAGAGAACAGCUUCAUCUCGGCCAGUCCUUCAGGAAUUUGCCGCUGGCUCUUAUGUAGAUAGUGUUUAAACAUGAGGUAUAAUUCAUUUUGGGUAUAUCAAACAGGCAAUCUUUGGUCUUAUUAAUUUAUUACUUGUUCCAGAGCUAAUACAUUUGCUUUAAUGGCUAUAUUAAGUUUCAUAACUUUAUAUUUACAUUGAAAUUAAAUCCUGUAAUGUUACUAACUAGAGCGCUGCUUUUGUACGUUUCUGAACUGUUUGCUUGUAUUUAUUUCCUAUUUUACUUCUUAUACUGUUAUAAUGAC